AACCCUUCCGUAGGUGAACCUGCGGAAGGAU
rnacentral:rRNA from 1 species